GACGAACGCUGGCGGCGUGCUUAACACAUGCAAGUCGAACGGUAAGGCCCUUCGGGGUACACGAGUGGCGAACGGGUGAGUAACACGUGGGUGAUCUGCCCUGCACUUCGGGAUAAGCCUGGGAAACUGGGUCUAAUACCGGAUAGGACCACUGCCUGCAUGGGUGGUGGUGGAAAGCUUUUGCGGUGUGGGAUGGGCCCGCGGCCUAUCAGCUUGUUGGUGGGGUGAUGGCCUACCAAGGCGACGACGGGUAGCCGGCCUGAGAGGGUGACCGGCCACACUGGGACUGCGUUACGGCCCAGACUCAUCUGGGAGGCAGCAGUGGGGAAUAUUGCACAAUGGGCGCAAGCCUGCUGCAGCGACGCCGCGUGAGGGAUGGCGGCCUUCGGGUUGUAAACCUCUUUCAGCACCGACGAAGCGCAAGUGACGGUAGGUGCAGAAGAAGGACCGGCCAACUACGUGCCAGCAGCCGCGGUAA
rnacentral:rRNA from 1 species